rnacentral:tRNA from 1 species
GGGUCCGUAGCUCAGCGGUCAGAGCCACCGGCUCAUAACCGGCGGGUCCCUGGUUCAAAUCCAGGCGGACCCA